ACUCAAUAUCGCUCUAUCUGUUUCAAUAAGAGGUUUCCUAGGAUUAUAUAGAGGUUUAUCCUUAUGUAUUUUCUUCUUCAGGUUAAAAUUUGGUAGAUGGAUUUUUUAUGCGAAUCGCUGCUGCUGACUGUGGAAAAUGGGUGCUUGCGGAUCUCUUUUACCCGUGGGAUUAAAUUUGUCGGGUGAAUGCGCAGAUAAGUGAGGGAAGGCGGGAAGGUGUUGACCAGAAAAGAGAUGGAAGGCUGCAAUGUGCUGCUAAUUACCUGAUCCGACUGUAUAGAAUGAUGGAAAAAUUUAGCAAGCUACCCACCUUUCUACAUUUGAUGUGAUAUUUACUGACUUAACAGUAAUUUGUUGAUUUGCAGCGAAGCCUGUUCAGAUAUGCUUCAUUAUUGCUCUGCUACUGAAGCUGCAUCCGGAGGAAGAGAUGCAGAACAAGUGACUAAAAUUAGAAAUAGAAGCUGAGACUCGUGUGUUCAGUGGAGCCCUUAAAACAUGAACCUAUCACUAAAAUAUGAACCUAAUUAGUGAUGUAGUUGAUUGUUACUUCUCCAUGAUGAUGAAAAUUGGGAAGACCUGGAGUUGCCUCCCAGAUCAAACUUGCUUCGGUAUGCAAUUGGAAAGUUCUGUUCUUUGGAUCAUAGUGAGGUCACAGAAUUAUUGCAACAACCACCCCUUUACUGGCUUAUGACUAAACACGUUAUUUUGUUGUAUGAAAUUUCAAAACGCUAGCAUGAGGGAAGACUGUUAUUACUUAAUAUUCCCCAACCAGAUAUCUUUUAAUGUUGUUUUUUAAUUUGUUUCAAUGUAAUUGGUUCUUUAAUCUGUAUCAAUGUAAAUGGGCGUAGAUGAGAUUUGUCUCUA